GCCGUGGUGGUUCAGUGGUAGAAUUCUCGUCUGCCAUGCCAGAGACAUGGAUUCAAUUCCCAGCCAAUGUA
rnacentral:tRNA from 1 species